UACAGAGGGUGCAAGCGUUGUUCGGAAUUACUGGGCGUAAAGCGCGUGUAGGCGGCGGCGUAGUCGGGUGUGAAAUCCCUCAGCUCAACUGAGGAAGUGCAUUCGAUACUGCGUCGCUUGAAUGUCGGAGGGGAUGGCGGAAUUCCCGGUGUAGAGGUGAAAUUCGUAGAUAUCGGGAGGAACACCUGUGGCGAAGGCAGCCCCCUGGGCUAACACUGACGCUCAUGCACGAAAGCGUGGGGAGCAAACAGG
rnacentral:rRNA from 1 species